AAACUAACAAGGAUUCCCCUAGUAACUGCGAGUGAAGCGGGAAGAGCUCAAAUUUAAAAUCUGAUAGUCUUUGGCUAUCCGAGUUGUAAUCUAGAGAAGUGUUAUCCGCGCUGGACCGUGUACAAGUCUCCUGGAACGGAGCGUCAUAGAGGGUGAGAAUCCCGUCUUUGACACGGACUACCAGGGCUUUGUGAUGCGCUCUCAAAGAGUCGAGUUGUUUGGGAAUGCAGCUCUAAAUGGGUGGUAAAUUCCAUCUAAAGCUAAAUAUUGGCGAGAGACCGAUAGCGAACAAGUACCGUGAGGGAAAGAUGAAAAGAACUUUGGAAAGAGAGUUAAACAGUACGUGAAAUUGUUGAAAGGGAAACGCUUGAAGUCAGUCACAUUGGCUGAGGAUCAACCUUGCUUAUGCUAGGCGUACUCUUCAGUUUKAUGGGUCAGCAUCAAUUUUGACCAGUGGAAAAAGGUCGAGGGAAUGUGGCAUCUUUGGAUGUGUUAUAGCCCUUGGUUNUNAUACAUUGGUUAGGAUUGAGGAAAUCAGCACGCCGCAAGGCCGGGUUUUUAACCACGUUCGUGCUUAGGAUGCCGGCAUAAUGGAUUUAAUCGACCCGUCUUG
rnacentral:rRNA from 1 species